AGGACGAACGCUGGCGGCGUGCUUAACACAUGCAAGUCGAGGGGUUUGGUCGGGCAACCGGCCAGGCACCGGCGAACGGGUGCGUAACACGUGAGCGACCUGCCGAUCUGCGGGGGAUAGCCGGCCCAACGGCCGGGUAAUACCGCAUACGCUCUCUUGGCCGCCUGGCCGAGGUGAGGAAACUUCCGGGGCGGAUCGAGGGGCUCGCGGCCUAUCAGCUAGUUGGCGGGGUAACGGCCCACCAAGGCGACGACGGGUAGC
rnacentral:rRNA from 1 species